rnacentral:rRNA from 1 species
GCCCUUAUGACCUGGGCUACACACGUGCUACAAUGGACGGUACAAAGAGCUGCAAGACCGCGAGGUGGAGCUAAUCUCAUAAAACCGUUCUCAGUUCGGAUUGUAGGCUGCAACUCGCCUACAUGAAGCUGGAAUCGCUAGUAAUCGCGGAUCAGCAUGCCGCGGUGAAUACGUUCCCGGGCCUUGUACACACCGCCCCGUCACACCACGAGAGUUUGUAACACCCGAAGUCGGUGGGGUAACCUUUUUGGAGCCAGCCGCCUAAGGUGGGACAGAUGAUUGGGGUGAAGUCGUAACAAGGUAGCCGUAUCGGAAGGUGCGGUUGGAUCACCUCC